ensembl:snRNA U6 U6 spliceosomal RNA
GUGCUCACUUUAGCAGCACAUACACUAAAAUUUGAAUGAUACAGAGAAGAUUAGCAUGGCUCCUGUGCAAAUUUGUGAAGCGUCCCAUAUUUUU